UCUGGCUCUGAGACCAAUUACUUGGAUUGUGCCACAUAGGAGAAAUGUGUUACUUUAGGUGGAAGGCAGGAGAGAUGGAGACCUAGAGGCAAUUUCAACUAAUGGCUUGGGCAAAGAAAUGAGAAAUCAAGAGAUCCUGAGAUAUAACACAAGCUCUGAUAUAAUCAUGCUUUCUGGCCUUCAUAGGCUCACUUCAUCCCUGUGUCAGUUUCCACAUCUGAUAAAAGAAGCUGUUCAUGCACAAAGGGGUGCUGUUGAGCUUCAGAUGAGCUGAGCACCCUUCCAGAAAACCAAAAGGGCAGAAUCCAGGCACCACUGGGUGCCUACUGAGUGUGGUUCUGACGGACUCCAAAGCAGUCACCAGCCUGGGAAGAGAGCUUUGGGCAAGAGAAACCAGCUUCCAUUCUAGCAAUAUCCAGCUCAGUUGUGACUGGGAAACAAAGACAAUCAGAAAAUAAAAGACAAAGAGGAACAAGAGACAGCAGGAUUCAGAGGACAGAAGUGAGAAAGAUAAUAAACACACAGGAGAUC